UGUCUUUCAUUUGAAGCAUAUAUGCAUGUGAAUUAGAUGUCAAAAAAGGUUUUCCUAAUUUCCUACUUUUGAUCUGUGUAAAGUUCCUAUUAAACGGAAGAGGUGUGCAUUUGGCUCAGUGUAGAAUCUGUUUACAUGACGCCUUGAUCAUGAAGUUUAAACUGUUGUUAGUUAUCAAAGCAACUCACAAGGUGGAAGUUUACUUCUAGAGCCGAAAUAAACAUGGUCAUGAUCCUCUUGUUUAAGACACCUCUAAGGAAACUAGCAAUGUUUGUGUUGGAUCGUUUGAAAGAGGGCCGAGGUCCCAUAUUGUCGACUAUAGGCGUGACAUUGUUUGCAGUCUUGAUGUCAAGUUUGUACAGUAUAAUGAGGAUUCAAAAGCGUUCCAUGGAAACCGGAGUGGUUAAUUCAAAUGACCACGUUCUUUUGGCUAAUCAUAUUCUUGAUGCAUCGCUCAUGGGUUGUAGUCUGUUUCUCGGGUUGAUGAUAGAUAGACUUCAUUAUUACGUUAAGAGAUUCGACAAUUCUGAACAUAUUAAAACCUACUUCAAAACUAGGAAAGCUGACGAGACGACCGAAUCAGAUUGAAUCAGUUUGAAUCAAAUUGAUGUAUAUAUCUAGAUGAACAAAAAUUAUAUGAAAUUGUUGAAAUGUUAAUGUAUUUUCAGAAUUUGUAUCUAGUGCAUUUAGUACCGUACGUAUUUGA